UGGCUCAGAACGAACGCUGGCGGCAGGCUUAACACAUGCAAGUCGAACGCGUGUAGCAAUACACGAGUGGCGCACGGGUGAGUAACACGUGGAUUAUCUGCCUCUUGGUUCGGAAUAACCCCGGGAAACUGGGGCUAAUACCGAAUGGUUCCUACGGGAUAAAGAUUUAUCGCCAAGAGAUGAGUCCGCGUCCGAUUAGCUAGUUGGUGGGGUAAUGGCCUACCAAGGCGACGAGGGGAAGCUGGUCUGAGAGGACGAUCAGCCACACUGGGACUUUAUCUCGGCCCAGACGGAAACGGGAGGCA
rnacentral:rRNA from 1 species